AUUGAACGCUGGCGGCAUGCCUAACACAUGCAAGUCGAGCGGAAGGAGGUAUAUUGCUCCUGGCUGCUGCGGCGGGCGGGCGGGUGAGGACUAGGAGUAUGACUUGGUGAGGGGGAUAACGUAAGGAAAGGAGCGCGAAGCGCAUACGAGAUAAGAGGGAGAACGGGGGGGAUUAUGAGAGCACGCGGGAGCAGAUGAGACUAGGUGAGAUUAGCUAGUUGGUGGGGUAAAGGCGUACCAAGGCGACGAUCCGUAGCUGGUCUGAGAGGGUGAUCAGCCACACUGGAACUGAGACACGGUCCAGACUCCUACGGGAGGCAGCAGUGGGGAAUUUUGGACAAUGGGCGAAAGCCUGAUCCAGCCAUGCCGCGUGUGUGAUGAAGGUCUUCGGAUUGUAAAGCUCUUUUAUUUGGGACGAACAGCUGUAUGCUAAUACCUUGCUGUCUUGACGGUACCUAAAGAAUAAGCACCGGCUAACUACGUG
rnacentral:rRNA from 1 species